UGGGGAAUUUUGGACAAUGGGCGCAAGCCUGAUCCAGCCAUUCCGCGUGCAGGACGAAGGCCUUCGGGUUGUAAACUGCUUUUGUACGGAACGAAAAGGCUCUGGCUAAUACCUGGGGCUCAUGACGGUACCGUAAGAAUAAGCACCGGCUAACUACGUGCCAGCAGCCGCGGUAAUACGUAGGGUGCAAGCGUUAAUCGGAAUUACUGAGCGUAAAGCGUGCGCAGGCGGUUAUGUAAGACAGAGGUGAAAUCCCCGGGCUCAACCUGUUAACUGCCUUUGUGACUGCAUAGCUGGAGUACGGCAGAGGGGGAUGGUAUUCCGCGUGUAGCAGUGAAAUGCGUAGAUAUGCGGAGGAACACCGAUGGCGAAGGUAAUCCCCUGGGCCUGUACUGACGCUCAUGCACGAAAGCGUGGGGAGCAAACA
rnacentral:rRNA from 1 species